rnacentral:piRNA from 1 species
UGAAAAGGCAGGAUUCUUCAUACCUUACAAA